AGGUUUUGGGGUAGCUGGGAGCAGGGUAGGUGAAGAUGUUGCCCACAACCUCUUGCUCAGCAUCCUCCCCAUCCAUCGGGCUGCUCUGGCCCUGCUGGGCUACCCUGAGAUUUUGUGGGUGAUCUCAACAGAUCCAAUGACCCACGUCCAUCCAAGGUGUAGCUACUGAAACCAUGGCCUCAGCUGGGAUUUGAAGCACCUGCAGCGAGUAUGAGCUACCCUCACCUCCCUGCCUUGCUCGGCUGGGGCAGGGCUUGCAGAAUCUCAGGCAAAACUCCACUGGAGGAUGAGAGGUUUGGGUGUGGAACAGAAAUGUAGCCCAGCAUUUUUUGUGUGCAGCCUUCAACCUACAGCAACAGCCACCACACCCUACAAACUCCAUUUGCGUUAUUUCGUGGGAACAGAGAACUGAAGGUAAACUGGUUUCUUGCCCCAAAGCCAAGCCCUACCACACCCAGGCCUGUGCUCUGGUGGUGUCACUGCCAUAGUUCCUCUUUCACCUCUUCAACUCAACCCAUCCAUGCCGCGGUUCAUGCUGUACUCACACAGGCUCAUGUGGGAUUGGCUCAGCACCAUCACUCCAGGGAUACCUGGAGGCCCUGCAGAGGAGCAGCAAAAGGACAAAUCCAGGUUGUGGAUGCUGCUGGUACCCACCAGGUAUGUUAUUUACUUAUUUGUGUCAAGGGUUUGCUUGAGAUCUCAGAGCAGAACAUCAGACUUGCCAGUAUUGCACUGGUGUGUGUGGUGGGGAUCUUGACUUGGCUGCGCUGUGCAGGGAGGAAGCCAGGACAGAUGAAGGAGUUAAAUAUGGAAACAAGAUCCAGAAAUAUAGCGGUAACCGGACAAAAUUCUUUGGAGACAAAUUGUUCUAAACUAACUCAGGCUGUGAUUCUGUUAUCUGCUCUGCAAGAAAGGUCAGAGCAGGAAUAUCUCUUUUUUCUCCCCCCUCUUCAACUCCUUCUUGUCCUAGGGAGCUAAAAAGAAGAGCACAAAGCCCACUGCAAGUUUCUUCAGGACUGUGUGUCCUUGACCCAUCAGCUCGUAGGUACAAUUUAACUGCCACAUCACUCAUCUUGGCCCUGAUUAGACCCAGAUGAACACUUUCAAUAUUAAUAGUCGGAUGAUUUAAUAAAGCUGCACAAGCAGUAAAAGUAACAAUACACUUCCAUAAACGGGUUCCAGAUGUUGCCAAGGCAAAUGCUAAACAUCAAAAUACAAACUUAAAAAAAAAAAAAGCUAAAAAAAAAAAAGCUGGAUAAGCAAAACUUGGAACAAACUGUAAACUAAUUAAAUGUGGGUUGAGUUUUCCAAAAAUAAAUUGAAGCCAUAAGGAUGUGAUGUGAGCCAAUAAAUAGUACAGUUAGUCAAAGUUAUUGUGGAACGACAGUUGGAGGGAUGGUUUGAAGCCACCGAUAGGUGGGCUCACAGCAAGCUUGGCUUCCCAUCAAUAGGAAGGCUUGUUCUCCUGUGCAUGAGAGUGGGAUCAAAUCUUCUGGUAUCUAUAACUGGGACCCCAGAGAGGUUACUGAGAGAAUAUGAGAUGAUUUUCAAGUCAGGGAAUAAAGGGAAAAUGAUGCCAGAAGUGCCUGUGUCUCUCCUGCAAUAGCAGCAGGGGUGAUACCACCACCCAAGGACACCGGGAUAUUUUUUAACGCGUGCCAGAGCAGCCCCCCAGCCUCUCAUUGUCCACAGGGCAUCCACAACCUCAGCUUGGCCACCUGCAAGACCCAUGGAAACACCACUGCUGUAGUCAAUAACUCACCCUCUUCCCCAUACUGGAGUCAUUGAAAACAGCUCUGCAAGAGAAUUUCACCCCAGUCCCAUCGCUGCAGCCGCAGAAGCAGCCUCCCCAGCAGAUGAGCUUUCUGCCAGCAGGGACUGCGGCUGGAGGAACACGGAGGGGGAUUUUGUGAGCCCCUCUCUAUCACUGCAGCCCCAGAGAGCAGGUGGGUCAUCCAGCACCUAACUCUGGCUCCAGCUUUCUCCACGCUGUGGUCCCCAAGGAGGGGGAACCACUAAGGAGCAAGCUGGGGGUGCCUGGGGGUGCAGGCACAGCACAUUUGUUACAGGCAAGGAGAAAGCACCUUGUAGCCCAAGCGAUGGCAGGCAAUGCAUUUUCACUGAGGGGCAGAGUUCUCAAGUAUUCUCCCUGACAUGCUGCUUUGGGACAGCUAAACACCAGAUGGGCUUAAGGGAACAUGUUUGGAGUGAGAUGCUGGGGCUCUUAUCCCUGUUCCCAGCUCUGCCCUUCCCAAGGUGGAAGUGCACCAAGGCCUCUGCUGCAUAGGACCUCCAUUAUAGGACCUUCAGAUCAUGCUUUGUCUUGCAGUGAUAACUGUCCUUACAUUGCUGGUAUUUCUCAAGGACAAAGAAAAAUUGAUAAUUUUUAGGUCACAAAUGCUCUACGGUGAGGUCUAUCCCCUCCUUUCCGCGUAUCUCCAAGCACCCUGGGAUGGGGCUGAGGCUAUUUCAGCUGUCACAGAGGGCUGCCCAGCUUGCUGUUACUGUAGUGGCUCUGGGAGCUUCCUGCAUCAUCUUUUCCAUGCAGGUCAAUCAACCUGUAGUCCCUAGGCUUUGCACUGGCAGACACUAAGGCCAGGGAGAUUAGUUGAGAUGCUCUUUGCUUUUCCUAAUCAGCAGCUUUCCCUAAAUAUGCUUUCCCUAAACAGCACUUAAACACGGGACUGGGGAGCAGCUCUAACUCAACCCUGCAGCCCUGUUAUUCCUGGAAACCUCCAGAUAUGUGCCCUGAUGGAAACACAACCUGCACUGGGACCUGCUUUCCCACCUGGGUGAGCCUGGGCUCCGCGGUGAGUCCUGCGCCUGCCGCCAAGUUUAGGAUUAGGUUUUGCUUUGGGCUUUUAUCCAUGGUUAAUGACACAACUCCGCAAUAACAGAGCCUCUCAUAAAAUUAUUAUGAGAACAAACAAAUUCCUUCCCUUUUAUAUGCAGUACUUUGUUUUUAAGAUUAAUCCAACAGCAGAGUUGAUGGGUUCUGCUCUCUCGCUGACCCAUGUGAGAGCACCAGGUGAUCCCCAUCACCAGGUUACUCCCGAGCUGCCUUCUCCAUGAUGCAACAACCAGUGCCACAGAUGGGCAUCAGGGUAAUUCCUAUGCCCUGAUUUCCAGGAGAUUCUGUGUAGGGUCAGAAGUUCCCACACAGUUGUUCAGCACUACCUGUGUAACAGGGAUCCUGGAUUUCUUGCAGUCAGCUGGAGGUAGGUCUGCCCUGCCAAAAAUGCCUGGUGUCGUUGCAGCAUCCUGCUGUGCUACAGGAUCUCCCCAGAACCAGACCUCAAAAUGUUGUACUUCUAUUUUGGACGCAGCUCAGUUUCCUCCAGCAGACUCCUGUUCUCCAGUGAUGGGGUCUGGUGAUGCUUUCAGCUGCUGAACCAAAGAGGUUUUUAGUGUCAGGCUGCUCUCCUCCAUCCAUGUGUUUUACACUGUAUCUUCAUAGGAGAGGUAGAGCAGACCAAAUGAAGCUGAAAAAACUUAUUAUCCCAGUUUUUGCCUCUGCAAGGCAAAAGCCACUGGCUCCCCCAGGAAAUCCAUCAGUGCCCAGGCUGCAUUCGGAUCAGGGGACCCAGGCUCCACCCUCAGGUAUGUGGUCCCACAUAGUCCUGCAUAAUAAAUAGUGCAUUUGGCAGAGUACAGUAUGGAGCAAGGAAUGAGCCAGAAAUGUUUCCUAGUGCAUAAAAAAGGACUGAUUUUGAUUGUGUUAGACACCAGUGCUUCCAGUGCCAGGAAGACAUGCAGUAUACAUUUCUGGUUUGCUUGGACCUUCUUCAAACAGGCUGGUAACUGAUUUAUUCUACUACUUUUUCCUUUGUGAAAAUAUCCCUUUAAAUUCAGUGUUUAGCAAAUACUGCUUAGUCCCAUAACAAAAUAAAUUGGGUAUGGAUCAUACCAGCAGGCUUCUCCGGUCUCUUUCAGAUGCUUAAAUUACAUCAUGAUCUAACUUCACCCACGGGAGGGGCAAGCUCUGCAGAUUACUGUCUGUCCUUCUGCUUUGGUAAUCUCCAGUAUUCUCGGGUGCCUUCACAAGUUUUCUGUGCAUCAGUGCAAAGACUCCGCUUUUGGGGUGUGGGGAUGUUUCAUACUGAGGUACCCCAGGGUUGUGCCCCAACAAAGCCAGCAGAGUCCAGGCAAGCUGGAAUGCCAGGGGCCAGUGAGGAGAUGCCUGGCAUUGGACAGGGAGAAUUUGGCCAGAGCAGUUUCUCUUUGAUUUUGGUCAGUUGAUGUCUGGGUGAGGACAGGGGAGUGCACCUGGGCCUGCGCUCCUCUGUCUGCCCUCACAGCCACUUGUCUCCCCCAUCCACUAUGGCAGGAUCUCAAGUUUCCUUCACAGAUUUCACUUUCUGACCCCCAAAGCUGCUUCUGCUGGGACCACCCCACUCCAUCCCUUUGGGCCCCUGGGGGUCUGGGUGCUGGUGUCCGGCACAGGGGCUGGCAGGGAGCAGCCUGUGCCACGGGACGGCUGGGCCAGCGGGGACGCCUGUGGCAGGGGGGUUGCAGGGGCAAUUAUUUGCCAUAUUGUGCUCUCACUUGUGUUUAAAAACAACAACAGCUAAACUGACUCAUAGAUCCUACGGCCUCUGAGUCAUUUUUUAUUUCUGGAUUUCACUGCUCUGCCCUUUGCAAUGAAGGGAGUUGUAUGCUCGCUCUCUCUCUCUCUCUCUCACACACACACACACAUCAAGUUCACAUUUGUUUUUCCCCUAUAAAAACAAAACGAUUUCCAUACCAUUAAUGAAACAGAAAUUAUUUGACUUCGCGUACCCUGGCUUUUAUUUUCCAUUGUAUAAACUCUGCAGAUGAAAUAAUGAUGAUUGUAAAGUAAACCUCUCUUUUUUUUUUUCCUUUCCCUUUCUAGGCAGCCUCUUUUCGAAAUAGCAAUAGGGAGUCACUUACAGGCUUGGCUUGUGCUGUGCCUGUAGUAAUUAACCCCUUCAUCCCUAGCUUUUCCUCUGUUGGAAGUUAGCCACGGCGUGGGUGAAGACAUCAGCAGGUCUCUGGGACUAGGAGCAAAGCAGGGGAGCAGAGCAGGCAGGGAAAUGUGGGAAAGGAGGCCAAGAGCUGCUGCAGGCAGAGCAGUGGUGAGUGCCUGGAGCAAUACACCCAUGGGCCCGGCAGCUUUCCUGGGAGAGCCAGGGUUCUGGCACUGCAGGGCCAGAGGUAUCUUCAGUCCUCCUACACGCCCCCCCCCCUUUUUGGGGGUUUAAAUCAGCACCACCGUUUUGUGUUUAGCCUGGCAGCCCCGUUCUGGGUCACCUCCCUUCCUUCUCACCCCCUUGGGGCCACCAGCAAAACGUUCCCUCUCCUCCACACGCCACUGCAGAAAUAAUCUGUGGUAAAUAAUUAAUCACCUAAUCUUGCUCUUUCUGUUUACAGGGCCGUUAUGAUUUUACGAAGUACUCCGAGGAACAUUAUUAGGGUGAGGUAAUACCUUACACAGCAGCAGCUCCAGCUGGAGCCGGGCGUGCGAACACGUGCCUGCUCUGCCCCGAGGGACGGGGUGAGCUGCCCUCCCCGAGAGGGUGUGAGCUCUGCUUCUUGAUAGACCCUUACCAUCACACGCAAUCUGUCUGUCUUCAAGGCCUCCACACAUGCCACAAGCAUUUUUCCUAAUCACAUUUAUCAUGCAACAGCACAACCCUUCAUCUCCCCAGCAUUGGAUCAGAUGCUUCACUGAUGCCUGGCCCGGGUGGGUUGGUGACACUGACUGAGAUACUGUUCCUCUUCCCAGGCUGGGUGAUGUGUUUUAUAUUAUUUCUCUUGGAUUUAUUAAGCAUUAUGUAACUGGCUAACCAAUCCCGCAUGCGAUGCAAUCGUGGCUGAUUUCAUGUCAGUGGAAAGUAAACAAAAAAAUUGCUCUGAAGUGGCUGAGCUGAAAUUCAUUUCCACAUGCAGAGCAAUUCCUGGAGGAUCUCUCCCAUCUCCUCGUGGUUAAUUUGCAUUCAAGCUCUCAUGGAACCCGUUAGAAAGGAGUUAUGGAAAAAUUGCACAUAGGACGUGACAGUGUGUUAUGAGGAAAAAUUAUUAAGAUGAAGUUUAUUUUACUCAAAUAUUUUUAAGCAAGUUUGUUGAUUUCUGCUGUUCCUUGAAAUGUAUAACACUUGCCUAUUUUUUGUCUUUUAGCUGGGGAAUUCCUUCAAAUGUGAAAAUUACUCGCCAAAGAAAGUUUGGCAUUGAAGUUUGAAAAAUCAGGCAAGCCAGCCCUGCAGUCCUGAGGUCCUGAAGCCCAGCAGGACCCAGCCCAACAUGACAAGGAAGAUGUUCUGCCCUUGCUGAGCUUUGGAAGAACUGUAGGUAUCAGGUGAGGCAAAAAAAUACACCCCCAUUAGACUCUGAACUCAAGCUCUUUCAGGAACACUUUCUUUCUGGUGUCAUGGACAACAUCCUUCCCAGUAAUACCAGUUUGCAUUCAGAGACAUUGAGCUGAGGAUGGGGGAAUGUGGAAUGGAUAAAAGAGCAGUGGCCUCGCACUAUUUCAUUUGUUUUUCUCAGUGUCUCUGAAACUUUCAGCAAUGCCUGAAAAUGUUGUGUGUAUUUCUGGAUCCAUUUCACUGACACACUUCAUUGAAAUAUCAGUGAAGUUGGUGGUUGGGGGUUACCUAGUUGCAUGUUAUUUGCAUUAUUUUUCACUAAGUCCCUGAGGCAGCCAAGCACCAGCUUCACCUGGGUAAGAAGCUAAGUGCAAUUAAGCUGAAAUGCUGUGUUAGACCUGGCUGGGCUCAUGGAUCAUGUAACAUCAUUUGUCAAUUGCUGGGCUGCAAUUUGAACAAAAGGGUGGCACCAAGCCGUGAUCCAGGGACAGAUGAUGGUGGUGAAGGGGCAGGAUGGGACAGCCCUGAAGGCAAUGCUGGUGGGCAAGUUCACAGCUCUAUGUGGGUGUCACCACUGCUCCUAGCCUUGUCCUGACUUGCUAGAUGAGGAAAGCUGUCCUAAAACAAGGAGAAAACUCACAAGUUAGGGGGUUGUCCCCUCUUCUGGUUUAUUCCUUUGUGAGAUGAGCAGGGAUGCUCUGUAUCCUUCUUUAAAAAGAUGGCUUGAGGGAGGGCUGAGAAUUAGAACAGAGGGUUAGCACAGGAAUCCCUCACAUUGCCCAGGACAGCAGCUUAACAGUGAGGUUUUUUCACUCCAUGCCUGCUGGAUGUUGUGGGUCACUGUGUAAUUACAGCCAGUACCUCCAGAGCCAUUACCAGGCCAGGCAAAAGCUUCCCUGGCAGACAAAAGCAGGUGUGAGUUUGCCUGGUAAUACCCGUACUUAUCCCUUUAGGCAUUUGUCAGCCACUGGAUAAGUAGGGGGCUAUGAAUGUCAGAUGUGAGGAGCUAUGACACAAAUCAACUUCUGCAGCCAUCCUGUGUCUGAGGGUGCAACCUUGUCUGGAAACAAGUCCCUUUUAUUGCACCUAUGUCCCCAUUUCUUUCUUGUUCCUAUAUUGUGCUGUCCUUUCUACCCUGUGUUGUAUUGGAAAAGCCCUGAGAGAGCAAGCUAAGCCAGCAGCACAGCCUGAAGUGUCUGGGAGGGAAAAAAACCCCACAGCCAGGGGUCAGCCCAAGAGAAAACCAUGGAUACAGUGUGGUGACCUGCACCAGCAUCAUGGCCCCACCGCCACAGCAACUCCCACCAGCCCAGACAGCACGCGAGGAGAACGUGCCACUCCUCUUGGUGAGAUGGAAAGCAAAGCAACUUAUUCAAGGUCUAAGGAGGUGGGGAAAUGCUGAGUUUUAGCAGUUCAUAAGUAAUUUUAGCAGCUCUGCCAGCACCUCUGCUUAUCUGGGGCCUUGCAGGGUGAGGCAAUGCAUUAUCGGCGCAUCACGUUCUGGGGCCCGUGGGUUGCCAGUGGGGUUUGCAGAGGGCUAAGCUGGCACAUCCCCAGUGGAAGUUGCCUUCUGAUGACUGGGGAUUUGCAUGCCAUGUUUUCUGAGAUUUCAGCCCUUUGAAGAGCACUUUGCAGUGAUCUGGUUUCAACGAAAUUCUUGUCUUAAAAACAAAUCCCUUCUCCCACCUCCCACACUGCCUGGGAGCAGGAGUCACUGCCUGGCCAUGCAUGGGUGGUUUGAGCUCAUCUUAUUGCAAGUUGCUGCAGAAAUUGCUGAGGAUUUUAGAGUACUUUUAGGACUGGGAGCUGAAUGGCAGAAGGCAAGAUUCAACCGACUCCACAAUGCUGUUGCUAUAAUUUUUGUUGCUCUUGUUUCUGCAGAGGCAUCAACAGUCUCUCCUGUAUCCCAAUUAACUGCAGCUUCUGCAGCUCAUUCUCAGAUGCAGCAGCCAUGAGUCUCCCCCUUUUACACAGGAAAGGCAGCAACAGCAAUGAACCAAGCAGCAAAAGCACGUGAGCUGCAAGUCGGUAGCAGACAUUGCUCUGUCUAAACUACUGCCGUUCAAGUAAAACUACUGUGCAGCAGUCAGGGUUUUUUUACUAUUCAUCAUAUUAUGCUCUGGAAUUCAAUUUUCUGUAUAUUUUUCAGGCUCUGCAUGAACCCUGGAUGUCCGUGAAUAGACGGAAUGGAAAUUUAAGGAUACCAUCCAAUGCCUCUCAAGAGAUCCCCCUUGCAGGAGAAGGAGAAGGUUCCCACAAGUCCCAGCCCCGGGGCAGAGCUGCAGCACAGCUCCAGGGAGACUCGGCAGCUGGAGGAGAUGGGGUUCAGGGAGCAAAGCUGCUCUUCCAACAUGGAAGAAAUGGCAAAGCUGGGAAUGUUCUCUGUUCACCAUCUCCUGCUCCAAGAUCUCAUCAUUUUGCAGUAGCUGCUUGUCUUUUCACCUCAGCAUCCCGCCUCUGGACACCUCCUGAGACAUGCCAUGGUCUGGAAAUGCUAAGCAGCACUUCUGCACAAGAGCUGCCUCCCAAGCCACAGCCUGUUGCCAAGCUGAUAGCCCUGGCAAGGGUGAAAGGAAGGCUCAGAUGUGAUGAUGCUGUUCUACAAACAGAAUGUCCAAGGAAGGAAGUUUUAUCAAGCAACAUCAAACAGAUGUUCCUCAUCGUGUUCCAGCUGCACUGACUGGCAACUUGCUCAGUCAAACACUUGAGGAGGACACAGAUGUUCAUUCUGCAUGGACGACAGUUUAUUAAAUGCUCCACCUGGAAACAGCAAAGGAUCUUUUAAAAGAAAUAUCUGUACCAGUGUUCAUUGUAAAUGCACCAGAAGCACUUGUAAUCACGGCACUCACAAAAACUGUUGCCAGGAAGGGGCCUGAGUUACUGAUUUUGCAGGAAAAACAAAGAAAUUUUUCUCUGGAUUUUCACUGCUGGGCACGGUAUGAAUCCCCAUUGGCAACAGCAUCUUUCUGGUGGAGUACUUGGUGAACUAUGGCUAUGUAAGAUACAGCUAAGCACUCUGGUUUGGGAUGCCUGAAGUGAGAAGGGAUCAGUAUCAAAAUCCCAAGUUUUUGCACUGUUGAUCUAAGGAAAAGGCCCUUCUUAGUGGCCAGGAACUUCAGCAGAUGUCUCUGCGCCUUCCAGGUGCAAAGAUGUAAGUGGGUUUUUCCCAGAGGGAACAUUGUCACAGGGGUGUUGGAGGAACUGAGGAGGUUAGGAGAGAUUUGGAUAUUGGGGCAGUAUCAGACAUCAGUGGGUGUCACCUCAGGUGAUUGCUUCAGCGCUCUGCCCUGCCUGGACCCCAGAGCAAGGUGAUAAACCAGCCCUGUUUGCUGGCUGCCAUGGCUGUGCUGGUUCCCACUGCUGGCACAAACACAUCUGUGCUGCUUUGCCUGCAGGGCAUGCAUUAGAGGGUGUGUGAUGGCCCUGCAGGGCUGAACUCUCCAGCUCCAAGGCAUGGCCAGAGGACCUGCCAUCAUGUGCUGCAGGGGCAGGACAACAGCUCUUUGCAGGCUGAGUGAAGGCAGUCUGGAAUUUCCUUCAGAAACCUUCAGGCCUCAUCAGAACUGAGUCUGGAGCUGUGGUAGAAGCUGCUGGGGACAGCUUUGUUUGGACACCUACUUAUCCAGAAAGACUGGAGUUUUAGGUCCAGCGGAGAGUAACUGACUUGGAGCUAAAGGGAACAUCUCCACCCACAGUGUGGGAAGCUGAGAGAUCUUCCUGCAGGCAGUAUGUGUCCAAUAUGAUGCUGCUUCAACUACUUUGAGAGUUGUGGCCCACUUUGAGAGUGGAAUGGGUGGAAAUGGAGCACAAGACCCUGCAAAGUGAUACUCUGCAGCUGCCACUGGUGGAACCACACCUCAGCCCCCCACUACAGCUGGAACUGCACAUCAGCCCCCCAUCUACAGCAUGCUCAGGCUGAUUGCCUCAAAUCACUCAGCACAAAUAGUGAAAAUGUCCUUUAAAAACCAAAUUAAUCUUGAAUCCAAAUGACCCUGUGCAGUCCAGGGUAGCAGCUGGAUGUAGGCAUGUCCUUGGGCUGCUAGAGUCCACAUGGGCCAUAGCCCUCUGUCCAGCACAGCCUGGCAGACUGCAGUCACAGCUGGACACAUUAAUGACCCACAUGCCACAACACAUUUGCUGUAGUAUAAAUCAGCUGUCAUUUGUUCCUGGCUUAUCAAUGGGAAGGAAAACACUGCCGUGGAACAGCUCCAUGAAAGGUUAAGUUCUGGAGCCACUUAAUUGGUAGGAGCACAGGCUGCAGAGGGGAUUGCAUGAUAAGCAGGCUCUCCUACUUCUCCUAAAAUUUUGACAGUUACCAGAAGCUGGCAGCAGAGUUUCAACCCUACAUGGGCUGUAACAAAAAGAUGAACCAACUGAAGAAGAAGAAAUAUGACCCUGAUGGAUGCUACAGAUCCUUUCCAGAGGCAGGAUCACAACAGUUGACUCUGAAUUCAGGGAUGUGCAUGCAAACAGGGCCAAGACAGCUUUCAGCCACUCCUUCACUUCCCCCUGAAGAUCCCUAAGGAAAUGUUAUCCCACAGUUGGGAUCCAGCACAGACAUAAUGAAGGUUUGAUAGGGCAGGCAGCCAUCAGUGGUGUUAUCUCCCUUCUGCACAGAGGCCCCUUCCAGUGUGAGGCUUUCACUUGGCACACAGCACUAAACUGGGGAUGUGAAAAGAGCAGAGUGUGUGGGAGCUGCUGAUUUUGUCUCCUUGGUGGGACUGUUUUUUUUUAAUAAAAGGAUCAGAUGUUGCGCUUCCUUGAAAACACGACAAUCUAUGGGAGAGUUCAUUAGUUUAUGGCAAGUUGCAACACUGUGGAGCCUGGCUGAAAGCAAAUGUUAUUGCAAAGAGUUAUCACUAAGGGGAGAGGAAAACAAUGUCCUGAGGAAAUAAACUCAACAGAGCAAAUCGUGGAGCAAUAUAAAGCUGUGGAGUACAGGCAGUAGAGCAGAAUUCUUUCUCAGAAUAAAAGCCCCCAGUCACCUGUUUUUAAUGCCAGUGUUUGCUUUCUGCAUAUUCAGUGAAUGCGUGGGAUACAUCUGCCCAGAACUCUGUCUCUAAUGGGAGUAACAAGUAUCAUGAUUGCAGCUGGCUGAACUUAUUUACUACUAGUACACAAAAAUGUCUUUCUGACCAUCAUUAAAUAGUGAUAAAACCAGUAAAAUACCAGUAAACAUCAGUUUUGUGUUUGUUG